rnacentral:rRNA from 1 species
AGGUGCUGCACGGCUGUCGUCAGCUCGUGUCGUGAGAUGUUGGGUUAAGUCCCGCAACGAGCGCAACCCUCGUGUUUAGUUACUAGCAGUUCGGCUGAGGACUCUAAACAGACUGCCUGGGUAACCAGGAGGAAGGUGAGGACGACGUCAAGUCAUCAUGGCCCUUACGGCCAGGGCUACACACGUGCUACAAUGGGGUAUACAAAGAGCCGCAAUACCGUGAGGUGGAGCAAAUCUCAUAAAAUAUCUCCCAGUUCGGAUUGAAGUCUGCAACUCGACUUCAUGAAGUUGGAAUCGCUAGUAAUCGUAGAUCAGCAAUGCUACGGUGAAUACGUUCCCGGGUCUUGUACUCACCGCCCGUCACACCAUGGGAAUUGAAUUCAUUCGAAGCGGGGAUGCUAAAAUAGCUACCUUCCACAGUGGAUUUAGUAACUAGGGUGAAGUCGUAACAACAUA